rnacentral:lncRNA from 1 species
CCCCUGCCCCCUCGGCCUGGAGACCAGUAUCGGCUUCGGAACCUUCGGAGCAGCAUGAGGAACAUGAUGACCAGCAGGUCAAAGACGAGCUCAGCCAUCUCCACCACAGACAACACCGAGGAGCCGAACCACAGGCUCCACUGGCUGCCCAGGUUGGACAGGAGGGUGACCAUCUGUGAGAGGAGAGGUCAGAGAGACAGGAACCAGGAGGCCACGACUGGAAAGUCCAGGCAGAAGAGAACUGCGGAGCCAGCCCAGGGAAGGACAGAAGUGGAAAAGUCACCACAGACAGGAACAAGCUUCCUGGCACACGACUUCCCUGCCAAACAACUCAACUGUAGUCAAAAGGAAAGAGAUUUGUCUAGUCCUAUACCAGGAUAAGGAGGAGAUUCCAAGGUGCUCCAAACUUUACUGAUUGUGCCCUUGUUCAGUUAAAAAAAAAAUCUUAAACAGGUCCAAUACAUGUAUUUGAUUUAUAAAUUAUAUACCU